AUGGGAGAGUGCCUGGGCUGGGCUUCUGGAUUCCCGACUGCCGAGGACACCCAGAACGAGGAACGAGCUGAGCUUCCUGGGCCACAAGACAGGACGGCGGCCCAGAGCCCCCACCUUGGGCAGCAUGAAGCUGGCGACUGCUCUUUCCAUCUCAAGCCAGUUGCAAAAGCCAUCCUGAUUCCUUACUCUGUCUCCACAUCCAACCUCACAAGCUCCCACCACCACCAUUUCGAUCUCAGCUCUGCCCACUGGAGCCAUCUCUGUGCUGGAGUCUCUGGCUUCCAUCCUCGGUCUCCUGUCCGCCUUCUGAGGGCCACUGGCCAGCAACUGCGAUGGAGCCUGGUGGAGGAGCGCAGGACUCCUGGGCUGAAUGUGUCCUCACGCCGCCCUCACCAGGGCCAGAGCAGUCCUGGUGCCGGAGACCGAGGCGACCCGGGUUAGGACGCGUCUGCCGCCACCCCAGCCGGGGCUUCCCCUUCGGCCCACUCGGCUCCUCCGGCCUCUGCGAAGUUCCCAUCUGGGUCCGCCAGAGGGCGCCCGGGGCAGAGGAGAGGGUGGGUGCCAGGGCUCCGGGACUGCAGCACCGAGGGGGUCCAGCCACGGAGUGUCCGCAGCUGCUGUCGGCGCGGCGCCUGCGUGGCCAGGAAUCGAGAUGGGGAGAGGCCGGGGCUG
rnacentral:lncRNA from 1 species